GAAAAAGCUAGGUUUUUUUUAAAGGUAUCUUUGGAGAAAAAGGAAUCCAACAGGGAAGGAGAUACUCCAGCUCCCCUUGGGAAGACUUGUUCAGCUACAAGGUUUUAGAAGGUGUGUUAAUUCUGAAUCCUCUGUGGUAAGCUAGGGGCGCCCCAGAGCUCAGCCAGUUUUCUACCCCCUCUCCAGGAGCCAGAGCUCUGUUCUAGGAAGCUGCUCCCUUGUUGCCUUGAUUCUACCAUGGACACCAGGCUUCUCUGGGGUGUGGUCAUUUGUUUCCUGGGAUCAGGUUCCAUGGAUACCAAAGAUGCCAGAAUCAUCCAAACUCCAAGAAAUCUAAUCACAGGAAUAGGACAGAAUGUGACACUGAAUUGUGAACAGAAUUUGGGACAUGAAAGCAUGUACUGGUACCGCCAGGACCAGGGCCAGGGGCUUCAGCUCAUUUAUUUCUCAAGAACAAAAGAUAGCACUGAGAAAGGAGACAUUUCUGAGGGAUAUGAUGUCUCUCGGAUAAAGGAGACCUUUGCUCUCAUCAUACAGUCAUCCAGAACCAAACAAACAUCUUUUUAUUUCUGUGCCAGCAGCAGACACAGUAAGGCAAAGUUAGCUCUUCUCCAUGCAGAAACCUCCUUCAUCUCUUACUGCAACUCUGAGGUGCUGAAUUUUCCUGGCACUUGUUACCCUUCCACCAACACAGGAAACUCUUACUAGUUUGAGAAAGCUAUGAGCUAAA